UCAAGCUACAGGUGUCGUGAGAACAAAAAACAUGGCGGACAUUUCUCUCAUUUUUAGUGGAAAAAUCUAUAUUGUGAGUUAGUUUCUGCAUAAAAAUAAGUUUUGAUUACAUUUCUAGCGAGAAAUAUAUAUUUUAUUUUCAUAAUAUGCACUCAGUGAAUUUACAUAAUCACUCGCUUGCUCGAUGUUACGCAGAUUUUUCAGAUCUCGCCAGAAUAAUGUAAAACUGAUACGUUUAGGUUGCUAUGGUCGCUGCCAGGGCUCGUCACAUGACGUCUUCUACAGACUAUAAUAAAUAAGAAUAAAUAGGAAGAGGCAACAAUAAAUGAUCUAUGCCAGCGCAAGUCAAUAUUUAUCUGGCCAGUCAACUGGUUUUUAAUUUAAAAAAUCCCUCGCAGUCUGAACUGCAACAGCACGGUCUGCGGUGAGUUAAACAACGUUCAACUGCAGGAUCAAUAGCAUUCAGCGGUGAGUUUAACAACCCUCAAAUGCGGUUAAAACAACAUUCAGAGGGAAGCUUUAUUUAAACCGCGUUCAACUGCAGAUAAAACAACAUUCAGAGGUGACUUUAACAACGCUCCACGGCGCGUGGGAGUAGCAUUUUAAGCGUUUUCUGAUCAUGUAGGUAAGUGCUUUGAUUAACUUUAGACGUGAUGCAUGCUGGGUGGCAAAUAUUUUUUAUCAAAGGCUCGUUGAUGGUAAUAAAUAUACAUAUAAAUAUACAUUUUACUAUAAUACGAUUGUGUUCGAUUAAUUAAUGGGUUGUUUAAUUAUUAAUUUGUUUAUUUAAAAUCCUGUAAUUUAACAACUCUGACGUCAUCGAAUGCGACGAUGCCAAGGUCCAUUGCGAUUUCCACUCGGUGCGAGCCAAGCCAAUUUUAUUUAUUGGGAAACAGGAUAAAAAGGCUUCGAAUAAGUGGGUUGCAUAUAUUAUUACCCAUUGGCACCCCACUCCUGUCACUACAAUUUUUUGGAGGAGAUGCGGAGGGCUUUAUCUUGACAAAAGCAACCUCCACAGGACAGCAGCCUGAGAGCCUUGCCAUGGAGCGGCCUGAGAGCCCUGCUGUGAAAUGGCCGGAGAACCUCACCAAGAAGUCUGAGGCUAUAUUUGUACUAAAUCUUGUUCUUCUGUCUUCUAGACUCUCUCCAACCUCUCUUGCUCCUACUACCUCUACUGCUUUUACAACAAUUUUCUCUCUACUUUUUUUCCCCACCUCCACUGCCAUGCUCUAAGUUUUUGCCACAGAGGAAGAGGAAGAUAAAGAAAUCUACCUCUUCCCACUAUACCACACUUGUCUCUCUUCAAUUUGCAUCUGUCUCUUCCAGUUCUAAAUCUCAGAAGUGGCCACUGGUGAAGAACAGAAUAAAGUAUAACUUUUCCUGUUACAUCUUACUCCACAAUUUGCUCCUAGUCAAAUAUGUCUUCAUGUUAAUUAAAUUCAUUUAGCUAACCAGGUAUUUGUUAGCCAGUUCACAGUGUUUUAGAGCCCAAUGUCCAAGGACUGUGGUCAAUGUAAAUUCCUGACUUAAAGGGACACUUCACUUUUUUUUGCUAAUUUUCCAGCAGUAAGUUUUACCGUUUUAGAAUCCAUUCAGCUGAUCUCCGCGUCUGGCACUACCUUUUUUAGCAUAGCUUAGCAUAAUACAUUAAAUCUGAUUAGGCCAUUAGCAUCGCGCCAAAAAAUAACCAAAGAGUUUCGAUAUUUUUCCUAUUUAAAACUUGACUCUUCUGUAGUUACAUCGUGUACUAAGACAGACGGAAAAUUAAAAGUUGUGAU